UUUGUGGUCCCAAAAGUAUCCCAACCCAACUUUAACUUGACUAGAGUUAAGCCUUGAGUUGCUUUUGAUCUUCAUUUGCUUGAGAAACAAGUUCUCAUCUCCACAAAUCUCCACCUGAGAACAUGUUGAUCAAUCCACACAACCUUCACACACUUGAGAGAGGGAGAGAGUACCUUCUAAGCAGUUUAAACACCAUAAACCUGCUUGAUCCUUCCUGUAUUAAACUUAUAUUCAAUACACUUCAGCUGUGACUACUCACACUGUUGAACCUGAGCCAUCAAUACAUCUUUAGAUCACGAGUUGUGAAACCCAGCUCCAAUGCAGUCUUGCAUUAAGCUCAAUUCUUCCCUGAUCACCUCCUAUGAUGCAUUCGACACCUGAAUACUUGAUAUCACCGCUCAGACAACUCCAUUAACAAGUCAAGAGAACACUUCCAGCUUGUUAAACACAACAGAAAAUUCCAUAAGCUUCACCGCUUAUUAGACGUCCAAUCACACAUUCUCCACCAUGGCUUCUGUUAAGGCCAUGAGCUUGUACCAGUGACUGAAGUACCAAAUAACCCUCUGCAAAACUUGAUUCCCUUGCUAGCUUCUAGGAUUUCCUCAUGCGCAUUGAGAUCAAAACCCUUUGAAUUCACUUGAAUCAAAUGCAGAAAACCAUAAUCAUUUUUAAGCUCAAACCUGAAGCUUCUUUGAUUCACCAUGUAAACCAUCUAAACAGCCUGUUUAGUACCACAACAGCUUUAGAUGACCUUUACAAACCUGUUUAACAAAACCAAUCCAGAACACAUCCUUUGUUCAACAGUUCUGUUUAAACAGAGCCUUUACCAGCAGAUUUGAACCACUACCAGCAAUCUUUAAACCUGUCUCACAUCAACAAGACCUUGUGAUAACCCUGAGACAAUCCUUACAGCACCUUCCACAUCCAUUCUAGAAUUCUGAUGCACUUUCUACUGUAGUACAGUCCUGCAAAACCUGCGGACCUCCACCAAACGACUUGAACCUUGCACCAUCCGAUUUUUCAGACAUAACCAGUCUUUUUCUUCUUUAUCAUCAUAUGAUACUAGAAGAUACUCCACUUGAAUGGUAUGCAAGUAUCUUUUCCUGAGAGGAUACUUACAUAUACUCCCUUUUGGUGCAGACAACCAAAACUAAAAAAAAACUCCUUAGUUGUUGUCUUCCAAAUGCAUUCUCUGCAUUUACAUCCUUCCUAGGAUUCCUUUUUCAGUUACCAAGACCAGCUUUGAGAUGGGUUGUUAUCAAACUUGAUACACAACACUUUCACAUUCCCGA
rnacentral:lncRNA from 1 species